GAAACGACUGCUAAGACUGGAUAGGAAACACUAAGGCAUCUUAGUGUUUUUAAAAGACCUUUUUCGGAAGGUAUACUUAAAGAGGGGCUUGCGCCACAUUAGUUAGUUGGUAGGGUAAAAGCCUACCAAGACGAUGAUGUGUAGCUGAACUGAGAGGUUGAACAGCCACAUUGGGACUGAGACACGGCCCAAACUCCUACGGGAGGCAGCAGUAGGGAAUUUUCGGCAAUGGAGGAAACUCUGACCGAGCAACGCCGCGUGAACGAUGAAGUAUUUCGGUAUGUAAAGUUCUUUUAUCGAAGAAGAAAACGUAGUGGAAAAACUACCUUGACGCUAUUCGAUGAAUAAGCCCCGGCUAACUAUGUGCCAGCAGCCGCGGUAAUACAUAGGGGGCGAGCGUUAUCCGGAAUUAUUGGGCGUAAAGGGUGCGUAGGCGGUUUGAUAAGUCUCUAGUUUAAAUUCAGUGCUUAACGCUGUCCUGCUAGAGAAACUGUCUGACUGGAGUAAGAUAGAGGCAAGCGGAAUUCCAUGUGUAGCGGUAAAAUGUGUAAAUAUAUGGAGGAACACCAGAGGCGUAGGCGGCUUGCUGGGUCUUUACUGACGCUGAGGCACGAAAGCGUGGGGAGCAAACAGGAUUAGAUACCCUGGUAGUCCACGCCGUAAACGAUGAGUACUAAGUUUCGGGGUUCAUCCCUCGGUACUGAAGUUAACACAUUAAGUACUCCGCCUGAGUAGUACGUACGCAAGUAUGAAACUUAAAGGAAUUGACGGGAUCCCGCACAAGCGGUGGAUCAUGUUGUUUAAUUCGAAGAUACGCGAAAAACCUUACCAGGUCUUGACAUACUCUGCAAAGCUAUAGAAAUAUAGUGGAGGUUAUCAGGGAUACAGGUGGUGCAUGGUUGUCGUCAGCUCGUGUCGUGAGAUGUUAGGUUAAGUCCUAAAACGAGCGCAACCCUUGUCGUUAGUUGCCAGCAUGUAAAGAUGGGGACUUUAACGAGACUGCCAGUGAAAAAAUUGGAGGAAGGUGAGGAUUACGUCAAAUCAUCAUGCCCCUUAUGAUCUGGGCUACAAACGUGAUACAAUGGCUAUGACAAAGAGAAGCUGAAACGUGAGUUUUUAGCAAAUCUCAAAAAAAAUAGUCUCAGUUCGGAUUGAAGUCUGCAACUCGACUUCAUGAAGUUGGAAUCGCUAGUAAUCGCGAAUCAGCAUGUCGCGGUGAAUACGUUCUCGGGGUUUGUACACACCGCCCGUCAAACCAUGAAAGUUGACAAUACCCAAAAACGGUAGCCUAACUACGCAAGUAGAGGGAUCCGUCUAAGGUAGGGUCGAUGAUUGGGGUUAAGUCGUAACAAGGUAUCCCUACCGGAAGGUGGGGAUGGAUCACCUCCUUUCUAAG
rnacentral:rRNA from 1 species